CCGGAAGCCCCGCCAAAACAUCGGGACGGUGUAUUUGCAGCUGCUGGGGACAUCGGUGGAUGCCAACCCGAGCGUGGUGUUAGUGACGGACUCGCAGCGCUUCAUUUUUAAUGUUGGCGAGG
rnacentral:ribozyme from 1 species